CUUGGAAGCAGCCAUUCAUUUAAAGAGUGCGUAACAGCUCACUAGUCGAGGAGUUCUGCGUGGAUAAUAAUCGGGCAUAAGCCGUUUACCGAAGCUGUGGAAUUGGCAACAAUUGGUAGGGGAGCAUUCCAUGAGCCGCAGAAGGUGUUCCUUGAGGAAUGCUGGAGGUGAUGGAAAAGCAAAUGUAGGUAUAAGUAACGAUAAAGAGGGCGAGAACCCCUCUCGCCGAAAGACCAAGGGUUCCUGAUCAACGCUAAUCGGAUCAGGGUAAGUCGGGCCCUAAGGCGCAGCCGAACGGCGCAGCCGAUGGCAGAAACGGUUAAUAUUCCGUUACUAUGAUACGGAGUGACGAGGAGACGGAGAAGUGACACUCUCGCCUGCUGACGGAAUAGCAGGUUGAACGGAGUAGAUAAUGACAUGGUAGGCAAAUCCGCCGUGACAGUCGAACCGGAUAGUACUGGGCGCCCCCGGGCAACCAGAUAGCAGAGGUAAUCAGGCUCCCGAGAAAAUCCCCUAAACAUAUGCGUAUCAUACCCGUACCCUAAACGGACACACGUGGUUGAGUAGAAAAUACUAAGGCGCUCGAGCGACUCACGGUUAAGGAACUAGGCAAAUUGACCCUGUAACUUCGGGACAAAGGGUCCCUCCCUCCGGGGAGGGCGCAGAGAAUAGGUCCAGGCAACUGUUUAACAAAAACACAGGGCUGUGCGAAAUUGAAAGAUGAAGUAUACAGCCUGACACCUGCCCGGUGCUGGAAGGUUAAGAGGAGAUGUCAUCGCAAGAGAAGCGUUGAAUUGAAGCCCCAGUAAACGGCGGCCGUAACUAUAACGGUCCUAAGGUAGCGAAAUUCCUUGUCGGGUAAGUUCCGACCUGCACGAAUGGUGUAAUGAUCUGGACACUGUCUCAACCGUGAACUCGGUGAAAUUGUAGUAUCGGUGAAGAUGCCGAUUACCCGCAACGGGACGGAAAGACCCCGUGAACCUUUACUGCAACUUAACAUUGAAUUUGGGUAAUUGAUGUGUAGGAUAGUCCGGAGACAAAGAAGUGGAUACGCCAGUAUUCAUGGAGUCGUCCUUGAAAUACGGACCUUUGGUUAUUUGAGUUCUAACCCGUAUGAUAUGGGGACAUUGUUUGGUGGGUAGUUUGACUGGGGUGGUCGCCUCCAAAAGCGUAACGGAGGCUUCUAAAGGUACCCUCAGGCCGAUUGGUAACCGGCCGGAGAGUGUAAUGGCACAAGGGUGCUUGACUGAGAGACCGACAAGUCGAUCAGGUAGGAAACUAGAGCAUAGUGAUCCGGUGGUUCCGCAUGGAAGGGCCAUCGCUCAAAGGAUAAAAGGUACUCCGGGGAUAACAGGCUGAUCGCUCCCAAGAGCUCAUAUCGACGGAGCGGUUUGGCACCUCGAUGUCGGCUCGUCACAUCCUGGGGCUGGAGAAGGUCCCAAGGGUUGGGCUGUUCGCCCAUUAAAGUGGCACGCGAGCUGGGUUCAGAACGUCGUGAGACAGUUCGGUCCCUAUCUGUUGUGGGCGCAGGAAAUUUGAGGAGAUCUGACACUAGUACGAGAGGACCGUGUUGGACAGACCGCUGGUUUAUCAGUUGUUCCGCCAGGGGCAUAGCUGAGUAUCUAAGUCUGGAAAGGAUAAGUGCUGAAAGCAUCUAAGUACGAAGCCAACUUCAAGAUUAGAUUUCCCUGAAGGGUCGUUGCAGACGACGACGUAGAUAGGUUGCAGAUGUAAAGGCGGUAACGUCAAAGUCGAGCAAUACUAAUCACCCGAGACUUUCCGCUG
rnacentral:rRNA from 1 species